rnacentral:tRNA from 1 species
CCUGGUGGCUCAGAGGUUAAAGUGUCUGCCUGUAAUGCGGGAGACCCGGGUUCGAUCCCUGGGUCAGGA